UCGUCGGUACGAUCCACUACCCGGCAAUUAUGGCGUCGUUAGCGCCGUCCGAGAGCACGAAAACUUCCGAGGAAUCGGCUAAACCAGUAUGCAAGUUUAUAAGAAGGCAAUGUUUCAAAAGAGGCAACCAGAGAAAAAGGAGAGGAAGCAGCGAAGAAGCCAGCAGUGAAGAUGAAACGCAAGUUGUCAAGAAGGAAAAGAAGUUGGACCACCUAAACCCAAUGAAACAAGGGACAUUUACAAAGAAGACUACGACCUAUACAGCUGACAGCGACAGUGGCGAUGAAACCAUCAAGGUUGGCGUGUCCUACAAGUCACGGCGAACCGCCGAGAUGGAAGGACCCAAGGACAUGGGUGCCACAGCUGUCCUUGAAAUUGACACAGAGAAGAGCAAGGAUGCUCAAAGCAUAUUUGAAAAAGCGCAGCAAAUUAACAAGGAACUGAAAGGGAAGGCGGAUGACAAGGUUUACCGAGGAAUGAACAAUUAUGCGCAGUACAUAACAAAAAAGGACACGGCACAAGGGAAUGCAUCCAGUGGUAUGGUUAGAAAAGGUCCCAUAAGAGCUCCUGAGCACAUUCGUUCUACUGUCCGAUGGGACUACCAGCCCGACAUCUGCAAGGACUAUAAAGAAACUGGGUUCUGUGGAUUUGGAGACAGCUGCAAGUUUAUGCACGACCGAUCUGACUACAAGCAUGGCUGGCAGCUGGAACUGGAGAUGGAGAGAAAUCAAUAUCGUGAAGAGGACACCAGUCGCUAUGAAAUCAGCUCUGAUGAGGAGGACUUGCCUUUCAGGUGUCUCCUAUGCAGGAAAUCGUUUGUGGACCCUGUUGUCACAAAGUGCAAGCACUACUUUUGUGAAAAGUGUGCUUUGAAGCACUACAAAAAAACGACAAGGUGCUAUGUUUGCAGUCAACAGACCAAUGGUGUUUUUAACCCUGCAAAAGAAAUAAUACAGAGGCUGAAGAAAGCUAAAGAGGAAGGUGAACAAGAAAGUGAAGAGGAACAGCAAAAGGAUGACCCACCACCUGCAAAUGACGACGACGACGAUGAUAGUGAUGACUGAACAGUUCUGCUCAGGUACCCGAGCAGAAGAGGCUGGCCACAUGUACGUGGUUUUCAUGGGGCUGGAGGCAGAAGAACAUCCAAACACUGGAGCGUGUCGGCUGGAGGCCGUUCCCAGAACAGGCAUGGUUACGGCACUGUGCAUGCAAUUUUAUAAGGCUGUUGUUGCACAGCCUGGAUGUGUAUACUUUCACUUUCCAUCGCUACACUGUUGUCCAUGUCGCUUUUAUAUUAUAAAUACAUCACCCUGUUGGCAA